rnacentral:rRNA from 1 species
UACAGAGGUCUCAAGCGUUGUUCGGAUUCAUUGGGCGUAAAGGGUGCGUAGGCGGCGCGGUAAGUCGGGUGUGAAAUCUCGGGGCUUAACUCCGAAACUGCAUUCGAUACUGCCGUGCUUGAGGACUGGAGAGGAGACUGGAAUUUACGGUGUAGCGGUGAAAUGCGUAGAUAUCGUAAGGAAGACCAGUGGCGAAGGCGGGUCUCUGGGACAGUUCCUGACACUGAGGCACGAAGGCCCAGGGGGAGCAAACGGGG